CCGACUCAGGGUGCGGGAAGAGCACCUUCAUGAGGAGGCUGACCAGUGUGUUCGGAGGGGCGGCAGAGCCUCCGAAGGGCGGGAAUCCAGACUCCAACACACUUAUCAGUGACACUACAACUGUGAUAUGUCUCGAUGACUAUCAUUCUCUUGAUAGGACUGGGAGGAAGGAGAAGGGAGUGACUGCUCUAGACCCUAGGGCAAACAACUU
rnacentral:misc_RNA from 1 species